AUGCACCGGUGACUCAUGAGCACAAGGACUGGCUUUUCACACCACGUUCUGAGAAGUGCCUCCCUCACACCUUAUUAGGAUGUUGGUAUAGCACCCAUUUCAUG